AGAAUCAACGCUGGCGGCGUGCCUAACACGUGCAAGUCGCACGAGAAAGGGGAGCAAUCCCUGAGUAAAGUGGCGCACGGGUGAGUAACACGUGAAUGAUCUACCUCCGAGUGGGGAAUAACUGAGAGAAAUCUUAGCUAAUACCGCAUAACACUUACGAGUCAAAGCAGCAAUGCGCUUGGAGAGGAGUUCGCGGCCGAUUAGCUAGUUGGCGGGGUAAUGGCCCACCAAGGCGAUGAUCGGUAUCCGGCCUGAGAGGGCGCACGGACACACUGGAACUGAAACACGGUCCAGACUCCUACGGGAGGCAGCAGUGGGGAAUUUUGCGCAAUGGGGGAAACCCUGACGCAGCAACGCCGCGUGGAGGAUGAAGCCCCUUGGGGUGUAAACUCCUUUCGAUCGGGAAGAUAAUGACGGUACCGAUAUAAGAAGCCCCGGCUAACUUCGUGCCAGCAGCCGC
rnacentral:rRNA from 1 species